CACGGGGGGGGCAAGCGUUGUUCGGAAUUACUGGGCGUAAAGCGUGCGCAGGCGGUUUUGUAAGUCAGAUGGGAAAUCCCCGGGCUUAACCUGGGAACUGCGUUUGAAACUACAAGGCUAGAGUGUGGCAGAGGGGGGUGGAAUUCCACGUGUAGCAGUGAAAUGCGUAGAGAUGUGGAGGAACACCGAUGGCGAAGGCAGCCCCCUGGGUUAACACUGACGCUCAGGCACGAAAGCGUGGGGAGCAAACAGG
rnacentral:rRNA from 1 species